rnacentral:rRNA from 1 species
AGGCGGCGUAAGNCUGUCGCUAUGGGAUGGCCCCGCGGUGCAUUAGCUAGUUGGUAAGGUAACGGCUUACCAAGGCGAUGAUGCAUAGCCGAGUUGAGAGACUGAUCGGCCACAUUGGGACUGAGACACGGCCCAAACUCCUACGGGAGGCAGCAGUAGGGAAUCUUCCACAAUGGACGCAAGUCUGAUGGAGCAACGCCGCGUGAGUGAAGAAGGUUUUCGGAUCGUAAAGCUCUGUUGUUGGUGAAGAAGGAUANAGGUAGUAACUG